UACGUAGGGGGCAAGCGUUGUCCGGAAUCAUUGGGCGUAAAGCGCGUGUAGGCGGCUUCGUAAGUCCGUUGUGAAAGUCCAGGGCUCAACCCUGGAAUGCCGAUGGAUACUGCGGAGCUAGAGUCCGGAAGAGGCGAGUGGAAUUCCCAGUGUAGAGGUGAAAUUCGUAGAUAUUGGGAAGAACACCGGUGGCGAAGGCGGCUCACUGGCUCGUAACUGACGCUCAUGCACGACAGCGUGGGGAUCAAACAGG
rnacentral:rRNA from 1 species